AGCAGCCGCGGUAAUUCCAGCUCCAAUAGCGUAUAUUAAAGUUGUUGCAGUUAAAAAGCUCGUAGUUGAAUUUCGGGGUUAGUAGGUUGGUCAUGCCUCUGGUAUGUACUGGUCUCACUGAUUCCUCCUUCCUUAUGAACCGUAAUGCCAUUAAUUUGGUGUUGCGGGAAAUUUGGACUGUUACUUUGAAAAAAUUAGAGUGUUUAAAGCAAGCUAACGCUUGAAUACAUUAGCAUGGAAUAAUGAAAUAGGACGUUCGAUCUUAUUUUGUUGGUUUCUAGGAUUGACGUAAUGAUUAAUAGGGAUAGUUGGGGGCAUUAGUAUUCAAUUGUCAGAGGUGAAAUUCUUGGAUUUAUUGAAGACUAACUACUGCGAAAGCAUUUGCCAAGGAUGUUUUCAUUAAUCAAGAACGAAAGUUAGGGGAUCGAAGACGAUCAGAUACCGUCGUAGUCUUAACCAUAAACUAUGCCGACUAGGGAUCGGAUGAUGUUAAUUUUUUAAUGACUCAUUCGGCGCCUUACG
rnacentral:rRNA from 1 species